AGGCGUUGCUCGUCUCUCUCGCCUCUCAAUAGCUUCAAGCAGUCGUCGAGUGACGGAGACUGCACUUGUUCCUGUUGCGAAUCCAUGGAAGCUGAGGUGUGAUUGUGCACCGAUGAGAUUUUCAAACGAUGGUUUUAGAGGCUUCCAGAGAGAGAGAGAGACACUCCUUUCCAAUUCCCACGUAAGCUUAUUGUUAAACAAUUUAAAUUUAUAUCCUUCUCUCUCCCACUCGUCUCCUCCUCUGUCACUCUCGCAAGAAAAACAAACAAAUGAGCCUUAGGCCGCCGCCGCCCACCUCCCAACGGUCACCCUCCUACUGAAUUCUAGAACAUCAAGGACAAUCUGCUCGUGGAAGAGGUAUCAAUCAACCAACAACACGAGAGGCUGAAGCUUUCCAAUGUUCUUUACCCUUCUCAAUUUCCACCAUCUCCCUUGCUCAAUGUGGCCAAUAUAUCUUCAGAAUCCAACACUUUGACGGAGGAAGGGAAAGGGAGGCGACCUGGACCAAGUUUCUUAAACGCAUAUAAAAGACUAUAGCAACGAAGGGAGCGGCAGAUAACGAAGGGAGCGGCGCCAGAGAGGAACGGUCUGUUUGGAUGGAGCGAGGGAAGGUUAAUUAAUGGAAGGAGAGUAAGAAAGGGAAAGGGUGAAGAUGAUUAUAAUAAAAAAUCUCAUGUUUGGAAAGAAAUAUAAUGUUUGUAAAUAGUUGAAAGAAGUUUAAAUAAUUAUUAGAAGUGUAAAAAUAUUUUUUUAUUAGAUAAUUUAUUAAA
rnacentral:misc_RNA from 1 species